rnacentral:rRNA from 1 species
UACGGAGGGUGCGAGCGUUGUCCGGAAUCACUGGGCGUAAAGGGCGCGUAGGUGGCGGGCCAAGUCAGUGGUGAAAGCUCGAUGCUCAACAUCGAGUCGGCCACUGAUACUGGUUUGCUUGAGCACUGUAGAGGCAGAUGGAAUUCCGGGUGUAGCGGUGGAAUGCGUAGAGAUCCGGAAGAACACCGGUGGCGAAGGCGGUCUGCUGGGCAGUUGCUGACACUGAGGCGCGACAGCGUGGGGAGCAAACAGG